UACAGGGGGGGCAAGCGUUGUUCGGAAUUACUGGGCGUAAAGGGCUCGUAGGCGGCCAACUAAGUCACACGUGAAAUCCCCAGGCUUAACCUGGGAGCUGCGUGUGAUACUGGAUGGCUUGAAUUCGGGAGAGGGAUGCAGAAUUCCAGGUGUAGCGGUGAAAUGCGUAGAUAUCUGGAGGAACACCGGUGGCGAAGGCGGCUUCCUGGACCGACACUGACGCUGAGGCGCGAAAGCUAGGGGAGCAAACGGG
rnacentral:rRNA from 1 species